rnacentral:snoRNA from 12 species
UUGUCCUGGCCUAUGGUUUCUCUGCUCACCUGUGCUCAGUAAAACAGGGGAGUCUGGCAGGACACACAGCAACCUCCCUCUCACUUUAGGAGGGCCGUCCUGAGUAUAGGGCUGGCUCUUAAAGGCACGAGAGGACAAU